rnacentral:SRP_RNA from 1 species
GCUGAGCAUGGUGGUGCAUGCCUGUAGUCCCAUCUACUUGGGAGGCUGAGACAGGAGGAUUGCUUGAGCCCAGGAGGUUGAGGCUGCAGUGAGCUGUGAUUGAAUCACUGCACUCCAGCCUGGGAGACUAAGCGAGAUCCUGUCUCAA